rnacentral:rRNA from 1 species
GACGAACCGUGCGAACGUUGUUCGGAUUCACUGGGCUUAAAGGGCGCGUAGGCGGGUGACCAAGUCCGGGGUGAAAUCUUCCGGCCUAACCGGAAAAGUGCCUUGGAUACUGGUCACCUGGAGGGAGGUAGGGGCACGCGGAACUUCCGGUGGAGCGGUGAAAUGCGUAGAUAUCGGAAGGAACGCCGGUGGCGAAAGCGGCGUGCUGGACCUCUUCUGACGCUGAGGCGCGAAAGCCAGGGGAGCAAACGGG